rnacentral:rRNA from 1 species
AUGAACGCUGGCGGCGUGCCUAAUACAUGCAAGUCGAGCGAACAGACGAGGAGCUUGCUCCUCUGACGUUAGCGGCGGAUGGGUGAGUAACACGUGGAUAACCUACCUAUAAGACUGGGAUAACUUCGGGAAACCGGAGCUAAUACCGGAUAAUAUAUUGAACCGCAUGGUUCAAUAGUGAAAGACGGUUUUGCUGUCACUUAUAGAUGGAUCCGCGCCGCAUUAGCUAGUUGGUAAGGUAACGGCUUACCAAGGCAACGAUGCGUAGCCGACCUGAGAGGGUGAUCGGCCACACUGGAACUGAGACACGGUCCAGACUCCUACGGGAGGUAGCAGUAGGGAAUCUUCCGCAAUGGGCGAAAGCCUGACGGAGCAACGCCGCGUGAGUGAUGAAGGUCUUCGGAUCGUAAAACUCUGUUAUUAGGGAAGAACAAAUGUGUAAGUAACUAUGCACGUCUUGACGGUACCUAAUCAGAAAGCCACGGCUAACUACGUG